rnacentral:rRNA from 1 species
AACGAACGCUGGCGGCAGGCCUAACACAUGCAAGUCGAACGGAACCUUCGGGAUUAGUGGCGGACGGGUGAGUAACGCGUGGGAACGUACCCUUUGCUACGGAAUAACUCAGGGAAACUUGAGCUAAUACCGUAUGUGCCCUACGGGGGAAAGAUUUAUCGGCAAAGGAUCGGCCCGCGUUGGAUUAGCUAGUUGGUGGGGUAAUGGCCUACCAAGGCGACGAUCCAUAGCUGGUCUGAGAGGAUGAUCAGCCACACUGGGACUGAGACACGGCCCAGACUCCUACGGGAGGCAGCAGUGGGGAAUAUUGGACAAUGGGCGCAAGCCUGAUCCAGCCAUGCCGCGUGAGUGAUGAAGGUCUUAGGAUUGUAAAGCUCUUUCACCGGUGAAGAUAAUGACGGUAGCCGGAGAAGAAGCCCCGGCUAACUUCGUG